AUGGAAAAUCUUCGAACUGAAGACCCAAUCCAACAUCAAUUUCUUCGAAUCCGACAUGGAAACUGAAAACCCAGAAUAAUCUCAACCAUCUCACCUCGCAAAAUAGAAAACCCUAUUCCAGCCAAACGAUGUUGGACUCAAUCUCAAUCUGUAUCUUGGUCUUAGUCUGAGUUCGCAUCUAUCACUGGCGAUUGCAUUGGGUAGCAGCACAAGUGAUUCAGGCGGAGGCUGUUAUUUCUUUAAUCCAG
rnacentral:lncRNA from 1 species